GCAGUCAGACGGAUGCGGGGCAAUGUAAAAGCUGCUAAGAGCUGAAGUGAAAUCACAGAAUACCCUUAUGUCAAUUCAGCUGACAUUAACUCUCAAAAUGACAAGGAGUUGGAAAUUCACAAACUAUCAACAGAAACCAGUCCCAAUUGACUCACUUCCUGAGAGUUUUGCCUUGCUGAGAUACUUGUCGUGUUGACACCUACCACUUUAGCAGUUCUGGGUGGAAGGAGGAGGGAAGAGGAUUUGGCUCUUUACACCAGCUGGUGAUCUUGCAACAACACAAAAUCUACAGUGCCAACUAUGCCUCAGCCGCUGGACAUACAAAGAUGAAGAAAGCUAUCUAGACGAUUUACGCAGUAACGUCAGUCUUAUUCUCAGUGCUCGUGAUGAAAUAGAACUUAUGUACCAAAUGCUA